GCACUGUAAAUACAGAAACCCUAUUCUUUGGUUUUUCCCUUUUUCUUUGCAAAGGAAAUCUGACAGUUAUUAUCUGGGGAAUGCUCAUAAGAAUCAUAAUGUAUUUAAUGUAAAACACUCUGAAAGCUUUUUGCCUUUUUUGUUCCACUCCUGCUUUAUGUAACAAUUGCUUAUCCAUCUUUUCCAGAUCUAAACAGGCUCAAGGAUCUUUCUUGGACUCAGUGGACAUCAUACUGUUGGUAGUUCUGAGUGAACAUCAAAAGCCUCAGCCUCCAGCUGAUACCAGGGUGGCUUGGAAACUGCACCCUGAAGCUCUUAUCAUUUUCAUGCCAGAUGUUUCACAGAGACUAAGAAGCUCGUGGAACUUCAGUAAGAAAGAGCAGGAACUUCUGUCUGUUCCCUUGUAUGGAAGUAACUAUGCUAAACCAACUAGUAAGUGGAAUGGUCUGCAGGUAAGUAACAGACACUGAAAUCUACUUUCCAUCUGAAACUAGACAGCAACCUAUUUACAAAUUCAAAGUUAAAUCCUGCUGUAGCUUUUCACUGGGAGCACCAGAUGUGCCAAAUCCAUUCCUUGCUGGAUGGACAUUAAAUCUGCUGCUUGAUUGUUCCCUGGGUUCAUUUCUGUGUUCCUUAAACUACAGGCUGGCCUGUGUGCCUCAAGAUAGAACAAGGUUAUAUAGAGUCAGGGAAAUGGAGAUUAGCACCCCCCUGUGUCUUUCUGUCUUACUGUGCUUUCCCCAUUGUCAGUCCCCACCCUAAAUUCAUUUAUGUAUUACUUUUCAUACUGUAUUUGCUUUUGAUCCAAGCACUUUUGUCAUCAGUA